rfam:Myotis davidii contig137021, whole genome shotgun sequence.
AGGCCCGAAGAGAGAGGCAGGGUCUGAUCCGCAGCCUCCACAUGGCAGCUGUUGAUCAGCCAUUGCCUCUCUCUUUCUCUCCG